UGCAUGAUCCUGCCAUAACUUAGGUUCACCCCAGAGCUACAUAUAUUGUACACUGUUUUUUUUUUUUUUUUUACAUUUUGCAAAUUCUUUUUCAUUUCUUGUGAUCGCGAGGUACUCGCAAGGACCUCGCGAUCACAAGAAAUGAAAAAGAAUUUGCAAAAUGUAAAAAAACAAAACAAAACAAAAAAAAAACAGUGUAAAAUAAACAAUAUAUGUAGCUCUGGGGUGAACCUAAGUUAUGGCUGGAUCAUGCA
rnacentral:miRNA from 1 species